UGCAGAUCUCAGAGAAAGACAGUGCACAGCAAUGGGGCCAAAGGGGACGAAGCACUCAAAGCACUUUGAGUCACACUUCUCCUGGAGAACUAGAGGGGGAAAGGCGAUAAAUAAGACUGCGGCCCAAAGUAAAUGAUAAGCAUUGCUAUUUGGAGGCUACACAUUCGCUGAGGGGCUGACUCCAGCAGGGUUGUCUCCAGUCCACAUGGGUUGAAUGCUGACUGCGGCUACUUCCUUAGAAGGCAUAAAUCAGAGCUGUAACCUACUUCACACCAGUCUAGCAAGUGCCCAC
rnacentral:lncRNA from 1 species